UACGGGGGAGGCAAGCGUUGUUCGGAUUUACUGGGCGUAAAGGGCGCGUAGGCGGCCACCGCAAGUCGGUUGUGAAAUCUCUGGGCUUAACCCAGAAAGGUCAACCGAUACUGCGGGGCUAGAGUGCAGAAGGGGCAACUGGAAUUCUCGGUGUAGCGGUGAAAUGCGUAGAUAUCGAGAGGAACACCUGCGGCGAAGGCGGGUUGCUGGGCUGACACUGACGCUGAAGCGCGAAAGCUAGGGGGAGCGAACGGG
rnacentral:rRNA from 1 species